rnacentral:rRNA from 1 species
ACGGAACUGGUGCAUUCUUAGUGGCGGACGGGUGAGUAACGCGUGGAUAACCUGCCUAUCAGACCGGGAUAACUCCGGGAAACCGGGGCUAAUACCGGAUACGAACUUAGGUGCGCAUGCACCGGAGUUGAAAAGGGAUUACCGCUGAUAGAUGGGUCCGCGUCCCAUUAGCUAGUUGGUGGGGUAAAGGCCUACCAAGGCGACGAUGGGUAGCCGGCCUGAGAGGGUGAA